UACAGGGGGUGCAAACGUUGCUCGGAAUUAUUGGGCGUAAAGCGCGCGUAGGCGGCUACUUAAGUCGGAUGUGAAAGCCCCUGGCUCAACUGGGGAAGUGCACCCGAAACUGAGUAGCUAGAGUGCAAAAGAGGGUCGCGGAAUUCCCGGUGUAGAGGUGAAAUUCGUAGAUAUCGGGAGGAAUACCGAUGGCGAAGGCAGCCCCCUGGGCCAAUACUGACGCUCAUGCACGAAAGCGUGGGGAGCAAACAGG
rnacentral:rRNA from 1 species